GAUGAAGAACGCAGCAAAAUGCGAUAAGUAAUGUGAAUUGCAGAAUUCAGUGAAUCAUCGAAUCUUUGAACGCACAUUGCGCCCGCUGGUAUUCCGGCGGGCAUGCCUGUUCGAGCGUCAUUUCAACCCUCAAGCCCCCGGGUUUGGUGUUGGGGAUCGGCUCUGCCCUUCUGGGCGGUGCCGCCCCCGAAAUACAUUGGCGGUCUCGCUGCAGCCGCCAUUGCGUAGUAGCUAACACCUCGCAACUGGAACGCGGCGCGGCCAUGCCGUAAAACCCCAACUUCUGAAUGUUGACCUCGGAUCAGGUAGGAAUACCCGCUGAACUUAAGCAUAUCAAUAAGCGGAGGA
rnacentral:misc_RNA from 1 species